AUUUGCUGCGAGGACUUUGAUUUGACUGAUUCGAGCUUCUGCCCAUGUUCUUGUGGAUUCCGCCUCUGCCUAUUUUGUCACAAGAGGAUUCUCGAGGAGGAUGGGCGGUGCCCUGGGUGCAGGAAACAGUAUGAUCACAUACCGAGUGGGUCGAUUGAUGUUAAUGCAGCAGUGCCUAUAUUACCGAUGCAAUUGCUCCGAUCCUGUAGCAUGAAUGCUAGAUACUAAAACUUGAGGGAUAUGAUUUAGUAUCGUAGUUGUUCUUGUUGGGCUGUUGUGUGGGAUGUGUACUAUCAGUAUACUAGAACUACAAAAGUUUCUGGUUUUAGGAAAGAAAAAGAGACUGAAUAUAUGCAUAGGGUUUGAAGCUCUAUGGAGUGGUCUAUUAGUAACUUGUGUGUGCUAGUAGGUGCUCUCCUACAUGAUAUGUGGUGCAUAUGUUUGCAGAAUGGAUAUUUUCUUGUUAAUAGUAUGGAGUUUAUAAAAUUUAGCUAUACAAUAUUAGUGCGAUAUCUGCUUUCCCUUCCUCGCCUUAAGUGGAGUUUCUACUCUUUUUUUUUUUUUUUCUUUGUCAAGAUGAUCUACCAAUUUGUAGUCGGCAAACUUUUUUAAGUAUAUUUAUGGCUCUAUUAUCAUUUGAAGUCCAUUAUAUUGUUAAUUCACAUUGUUAACUCCUAUUGCCUCUCUGAUUAUGAAGUGUUUUAUAUUUUCCUUUGUUCCUUUCUUUUAGUCUUUUGUCUUUGUGUGAAGUUGCUCAGGUGGCAAUUGUAACAACCCUGAAGAAUAAAUGGUAGAAGUAGUAGUAGCAUUAGUAGUUAGAUGUAGAAGAGGAGUAAAGGUAGCAGUUUUACUAGCUAGAAGAAGAAUAAGUGGCAGCAGCAGGUGGAGAGGAGGAGGUGCGGCAGGUGGGCCGACGAGAAGCGUCUUCGAAGGGCUCAGGCGAGCUUGACGGAACAGUCGGGCGAGAGGUGGUCCGGGCGGAGCUCUGGUGGGGACGACGGAGCUAGGGCAUCCUCAAAGCUCGGAGAGGGCGCUGGGAUGUCCGAUGGAGUCCAUGGAGUUGGGGCGAAGAAGAGGACUGGCGGAUCGAAGCUUCAGGAUCUCGGAGCGGAGGCAAAACGCGAACCCAGUACCCGCAGGGUCGCGGAUGAUGCGGAGAAGAAGGAGUCCGACGCCGAUUGCCCGUUUAUAGGCGGAUCGGGCGGGCCGAACCUCGGAUCGGGUGCAAUUAGCGAACCCAAGGCCCGCCGGGUAGCGGAUGAUGCGGAUAAGGUCGAGCCCGAUAUCCAAUCACCCGAUUACAUGAUGCUCAUGGACUUGUCAAGCCAACGGAGGCCCCAUUACCACAGAAUUAGCAGCCCAUCAGGCCCAUAUCUCAUAUUAGCACUUUUGCUGUUUAGGCCUCAGAUAGUAGUUAAUUUUCCUUUCAGUUCAAGUCACCAAGUAGUAUAAAUAUCAAAGUGUAAUGUGAACAGGGAUCUAUCGAUGAAAUGAAAUAUUGCUUAUCUUCUUCCCCAAUCCUUCUCGAAACCCUUCUUUGCUUCUAAGCUCCCUAAUUCUCCUCUCUCUUCUCUACUUCUAAUCCCUACCCUCAUCUCUCUGUAUCUCUCUCUGUCUCUCCCUCAUUCCCAUCAUCUCCCAAUUCACGCUCCUCAAUCCGAGGUCUCAUCGGAUCGCGAUUGGGAUCAGGUUGGUCACGCCAUCAUCCCGGUUAGCC
rnacentral:lncRNA from 1 species